UUUCUACAGCUGAGAUGGAUGGAUGCUGGCUGAGAAGUGAGAUUUGAGGUGACCAAACAGCCAUAGGCCAGUUUUCAUUACAGUUACAUUCCAGAGAUGGGAGUCUUCCUGUGUCUGGCCUUUGUCACCUCCUGUGAGCCAAGAAGAGCUUGAAAAGGAAAUGAAGGAUCUUCUUCUUGCCAUCUUAAUAUCACCGGUCAUAAUCACUUUUGUCCUAAGUGGACAACAAGCAGACAUCCGUGGAAGAAUAAGGACCCAGAUGCUCAAGCCAGAUGGUGAAGCCGCUGUCCUAACCACAUGCAACAAAAAUACAUUAAAAUAAGAUGAGACGAAGACACUUCAGCACGCAGUACCUGAGAGUGAAAGAGUGAAGCUGUUAUACACACAUUGACUGUAAUCACACCUCACUCUUCCCUCAGAAACCCUUCUGUUUUGAGGUGAAAACUGAGACCGAAAGCUUGAGGAUUGCUCUGAUCCACUGAGUCAUAUGACUGGAUUGAGGCUUGGCUGCUAAUUAGUGAAUGAAGCUGAAAACAAAUCUGUGAGUUGGUGCAAAGAUGAAA